CAUUGAAGUCUUUACAAUAUAUCCCCUGAAUGAAGUAUAAAUGGAUGAAAGCAGUUUUGGAUACUUAACGAUCAUUUGUCUCCAUUUUACAGUUUAUAGCUCCCUGCCCCACAUCCCAUUUCAUUUAUUUUAUUUCACCUAUAGGGAUAAUGUUGACCUAAGCCAUCAUCCUUACACCUCAGCAUUAUUGGUUAUAACAUAGCGGAGAGCAGAAAUGAUUUGCCACUGUAGUGUGAGGCAGAGGAAAGGUGGGGAUCUGAUGGCUGUUUAUUGCUCAGGCUCUAAACAAAGAGCCCUGGUAGCCUGCGUGUGAUCAAUCUUUCUCGCCAAAAGGUCUGACAGCUCCCUGCCCUAAGAACACAUUUAAACCAUCUAACACUCCCUUAGAUCAUAUAUGGCCAGGAAGAGGACAGCCACUCUCUAGGUGAGCUGUAGGAGAAGUUUUCAAUUUAGAAAUGUAGGGAUUUCUUAUAGAGGCGCGGAUGAGACGCACGGCCAUUACGCACAAAUCUUUUCUUUUUUUUGCUCACUCGCUCGAUAAUGAAUCAAAAAUCCAUCUAAAGGCGAAACUCUGUCGCUUUUUCGUUUCCAAAAGGGACUUUACAGACACAAAGAAAACGCAGAGGAGAGGAGAGGACUUGGUUAGUGGUAUAGAAACGAACGGAGCAGCUUUUACAUAGGAUCAAUUGUUUGCUGAGCUGUGCAGACAUAAAGCCGCAUUUUGCAACUUGCUGCAGGGAUGCAGACAGAGGACGGUGUCUGGAGGAGCUGUGAGGAGGAGCUGCGCGUUUCCCGUCUGUUCUGAGACAACAAGAGACAUCUGGGGAGCAAGCAGGCCAAACCUGCCACCACUGUUGUUUUCUGUUAAAAAAAAAAAAAAUUCAAUCAGCUUACAGCCUAAACUGUGGAAUUAUCUCCAUUUGUAGUGAGUGUGACUCAAAUGUUUAACCGGACUUUAAAAUAAAUAAUUGCACAAUUA